GAUGAACGCUGGCGGCGUGCCUAAUACAUGCAAGUCGAGCGAACAGACGAGGAGCUUGCUCCUCUGACGUUAGCGGCGGACGGGUGAGUAACACGUGGAUAACCUACCUAUAAGACUGGGAUAACUUCGGGAAACCGGAGCUAAUACCGGAUAAUAUAUUGAACCGCAUGGUUCAAUAGUGAAAGACGGUUUUGCUGUCACUUAUAGAUGGAUCCGCGCCGCAUUAGCUAGUUGGUAAGGUAACGGCUUACCAAGGCAACGAUGCGUAGCCGACCUGAGAGGGUGAUCGGCCACACUGGAACUGAGACACGGUCCAGACUCCUACGGGAGGCAGCAGUAGGGAAUCUUCCGCAAUGGGCGAAAGCCUGACGGAGCACCGCCGCGUGAGUGAUGAAGGUCUUCGGAUCGUAAAGCUCUGUUAUUAGGGAAGAACAAAUGUGUAAGUAACUAUGCACGUCUUGACGGUACCUAGUCAGAAAGCCACGGCUAACUCCGUG
rnacentral:rRNA from 1 species